rnacentral:rRNA from 1 species
UACGUAGGUGGCGAGCGUUGUCCGGAUUUAUUGGGCGUAAAGGGCGCGCAGGCGGUGCGGUAAGACUGCCGUGAAAUCUCCCGGCUCAACUGGGAGGGUGCGGUGGAGACUGCCGGACUGGAGGCACUCAGAGGCCGGUGGAAUUCCCGGUGUAGUGGUGAAAUGCGUAGAGAUCGGGAGGAACACCAGUGGCGAAGGCGGCCGGCUGGGGGUGACCUGACGCUGAGGCGCGAAAGCGUGGGGAGCGAACCGG